AUUGAACGCUGGCGGCAGGCUUAACACAUGCAAGUCGAGCGAGCGGCGGACGGGUGAGUAAUGUCUGGGAAACUGCCUGAUGGAGGGGGAUCACUACUGGAAACGGUAGCUAAUACCGCAUACCAUCGGAUGUGCCCAGAUGGGAUUCGCUAGUAGGGGGGGUAAAGGCUCACCUAGGCGACGAUCCCGAGCUGGUAUGAGAGGAUGACCACCCACACUGUAACUGAUACACGGUCCAGGCACCGACGGGAGGCAGCAGUGGGGAAUAUGGCACAAUGGGCGCAAGCCUGAUGCAGCCAUGCAGCGUGUAUGAAGAAGGGCUUCGGGUUGUAAAGUACUUUCAGCGGGGAGGCGUUACCCGCAGAAGAAGCACCGGCUAACUCCGUGCCAGCAGCCGCGGUAAUUC
rnacentral:rRNA from 1 species